CUUACAGGAUAAAAAAUGAAUGCAGUGAGGAAAACGAGCAGACAGAUGGAAAAAAAUGACAGGCUUUACCCUGUACUGAGUAAGGAGGUCAUUCCUAACCGCACCACCCACCACUCUGCUUUAUCUUUCACCUGAAGGGAACCAUGAAGAAAAAGGACUGAGAAGAAAACAGAGAAAGGUUUUGACCCUGGGCCACUGGCUGUGACUUGUGAACAACCUCCAUCUCCAAAAAGUCACUUCUCGUCCUCCUGAUCAGCCUUGGGUGAACACACACUACCAACAAUAUGCUACCUUAGGCCACUUCCUUCCUCCAGAGUUUUCAAGCUAAAUUCAGGUUUUGAUGAUAAAAGAUGGAGGGGGUGGAAUAAAAAGGCAGAAGAAGUUAGUUAUGCAAGAGGGACACCUCCACACUGGAAUGUACAGUUCUCUAAACAUGCCUGGUGUACGGCACCUCCUUCUUGGUGUGUUGGUACCUGCUGUUUCCUCUACCUGGCUUUAGCUAGCCAAUGCUAUUAGUCUUCCAAACUCAACUUGAGGGCACAUUCUUCUGGAAAGCCUCUCGAUGCAGACUCUCAGCCUUCACACUCCACCUGUUACCUUAAAACUCACACUCACCGUGAGUUAUCAGCCCCCAUCGUGCUUCCUUUGUGCCCUGUAUUAUAACUGUUUUCUAGUCUGCCUGUGUCAGCUGCCAGGCUGUGAACUCCCUGAGGACAGCAAUUGAGCUAUUUAAUUUCUCAGCCUCCAGCACCUAACCCAACGCUUGACACAGACAAACAAUUCAUUUUAAAAAAAGGAAUUUGAGGGGGGAGAGAAAAAUUAGGAGUAUGGGAUUAGCAGAUACAAAGUACUAUAUAUAUAAAAUAGAUAAACAACAAGGUCCUACUGUGUAACACAGGGAACUAUAUUCAAUAUCCUGCAAUAAACCA